rnacentral:rRNA from 1 species
UACGGAGGGUGCAAGCGUUAUCCGGAUUCACUGGGCUUAAAGGGUGCGUAGGCGGGCAGGUAAGUCAGUAGUGAAAUCUCCGGGCUUAACCCGGAAACUGCCGUUGAUACUAUCUGUCUUGAAUAUCGUGGAGGUAAGCGGAAUAUGUCAUGUAGCGGUGAAAUGCUUAGAUAUGACAUAGAACACCCAUUGCGAAGGCAGCUUACUACACGAUCAUUGACGCUGAGGCGCGACAGCGUGGGGAGCAAACAGG